rnacentral:rRNA from 1 species
CGCUGCUAUCUGCAGUCGAGCGAUCUUUCGGAACUUGUUUCGAAAGAUUAGCGGCGGACGGGUGAGUAACACGUGGGCAACCUGCCUGUAAGACUGGGAUAACACCGGGAAACCGGUGCUAAUACCGGAUAAUCCUUUUCCUCUCAUGAGGAAAAGCUGAAAGUCGGUUUCGGCUGACACUUACAGAUGGGCCCGCGGCGCAUUAGCUAGUUGGUGAGGUAACGGCUCACCAAGGCGACGAUGCGUAGCCGACCUGAGAGGGUGAUCGGCCACACUGGGACUGAGACACGGCCCAGACUCCUACGGGAGGCAGCAGUAGGGAAUCUUCCACAAUGGACGAAAGUCUGAUGGAGCAACGCCGCGUGAGCGAUGAAGGCCUUCGGGUCGUAAAGCUCUGUUGUUAGGGAAGAACAAGUACCGGAGUAACUGCCGGUACCUUGACGGUACCUAACCAGAAAGCCACGGCUAACUACGUGCCAGCAGCCGCGGUAAUACGUAGGUGGCAAGCGUUGUCCGGAAUUAUUGGGCGUAAAGCGCGCGCAGGCGGUCCUUUAAGUCUGAUGUGAAAGCCCACGGCUCAACCGUGGAGGGUCAUUGGAAACUGGGGGACUUGAGUGCAGAAGAGGAAAGCGGAAUUCCACGUGUAGCGGUGAAAUGCGUAGAGAUGUGGAGGAACACCAGUGGCGAAGGCGGCUUUCUGGUCUGUAACUGACGCUGAGGCGCGAAAGCGUGGGGAGCAAACAGGAUUAGAUACCCUGGUAGUCCACCCCGUAAACGAUGAGUGCUAAGUGUUAGAGGGUUUCCCCCCUUUAGUGCUGCAGCUAACCCAUUAAGCACUCCCCCUGGGGAGU